GACGAACGCUGGCGGCGUGCUUAACACAUGCAAGUCGAACGGUAAGGCCCUUCGGGUACGACGAGUGGCGAACGGGUGAGUAACACGUGGGUGAUCUGCCCUGCACUUCGGGAUAAGCUUGGGAAACUGGGUCUAAUACCGGAUAGGACCACGGUCUGCAUGGAUUGUGGUGGAAAGCUUUUGCGGUGUGGGAUGGGCCCGCGGCCUAUCAGCUUGUUGGUGGGGUGAUGGCCUACCAAGGCGACGACGGGUAGCCGGCCUGAGAGGGUGUCCGGCCACACUGGGACUGAGAUACGGCCCAGACUCCUACGGGAGGCAGCAGUGGGGAAUAUUGCACAAUGGGCGCAAGCCUGAUGCAGCGACGCCGCGUGGGGGAUGACGGCCU
rnacentral:rRNA from 1 species